rnacentral:ncRNA from 2 species
GCUUAAUUGCUAGCGCCAGUACUUAGAAUGUUUAAGUAGACGAGGAGAAAGUUAUCGAGGAUUCGGCGGAUACUUUCCGGCCUGUUGGGGUCGAUACACAAGGUUAAAACAAGCGGGUGACUACUUGCACAACAACCACGUGAACAACGGUC